rnacentral:ncRNA from 5 species
UGGCACCGCGCGGGAGAGCGUUUCCUGGUCCUUUGAGGAUCGGCCCUGAAAGGGGCAGGGGGCCGCCGAAGGAGCAACCACCCCGGAAUCUCUCAGGCACCAGAGACCGCGCGGGGCUG